AACGCACCUUGCGCUCCUUGGUAUUCCGAGGAGCAUGCCUGUUUGAGUGUCUUGAAGUCAUCAACCCCACCGGUUUUGAACCGGGGAAGGUUGGAUUAUGGGGGCUUGCUGCCGCGAGGCUGCUCCCCUCAAAUGCGUCGGUUGGACCUGCGGGUCGGACUCGAUUGGGCGUUGUAUCAUCCUCGCUCUGACCGAGAAGUUCCCCUUCCGUGUCCUCCCACGACUCACCUUUGGAGAGGUGGUCAACACUCUUUGAAAUCUGACCUCAAAUCAGGUAGGACUACCCGCUGAACUUAA
rnacentral:misc_RNA from 1 species